UACGGAGGGAGCUAGCGUUGUUCGGAAUUACUGGGCGUAAAGCGCGCGUAGGCGGCCUUCUAAGUCGAACGUGAAAUCCCUGGGCUCAACCCAGGAACUGCGUCCGAUACUGGAAGGCUUGAAUCCGGGAGAGGGAUGCGGAAUUCCAGGUGUAGCGGUGAAAUGCGUAGAUAUCUGGAGGAACACCGGUGGCGAAGGCGGCAUCCUGGACCGGUAUUGACGCUGAGGCGCGAAAGCCAGGGGAGCAAACGGG
rnacentral:rRNA from 1 species